AGUAUUUGUGUUGCAUGCAACUGUUUUAGACAAUGAGGUUUUACAAUCAAUCUUUUGACCUGCUCCUGAACCUACUAAACUGCUACUGAGAAAGCACUUGUACAGUUAACAUGAACUCCAUGUGUACAGUCCUGGAUUUCUUUGUGUAAUGGAUUGUAGUGUUCUGUUGCUCAUGUGUUUUUGUGCACUGGAACUAAUAUCUAUGGUCUUAGAACAGUUCUCACUGUUGUAAUGUCCUUGUCCUGGGAUCUAAAAUACCCUGGCAGUCCUCUGGCUGCUUAUGUGAGGACUCUACUGAUACUGCCUUCUUUGAUUAUGAUGGUGGCAUAGCAUUCUGCUUUUGAAAUGCUGACAGGCAGUCAAGUUUGUGCUUAUGUUCCCUGAGCCAGCCUACCUGAUAAGCACACCUGUUCCGCUCCAGUUCUGUGGACUUGGUCCUGGAAGUCUUGAGACAUAUGUAGGCUUGAAAUGCCUUUGAGGGAACAGUGGUGGCUCCACAUGUGGAAUACCAGACCAUGCCACGGAGCACCUUUGAGGUAAAGGUGACUUGGCCUUCCAAAUGGAGGACAAAGUUGGAAUUCUCAUACACUGCUGGCAUGGGAUAUCAACAUCAACCUGUGGUUUUUAAUCUGUGGGUGGACUAAUCACUUCAAAAGCUUGAGUCUUCCCCUUGUCCUGGGACUUAGUGAAGAGGGGUCUGAACUUGGCUCUUAAUCCCUGGAGGCCAUUUGUUCUGAGAAUGCUUGCAGUACCAGCAGUUCUGCAGAGGAAACUGGAUGGGCAUUUUGGGAAGUCUGUCCUUACAGACACCACUGUUGGCAUAUUCAGUGACUGGACAAUUUGAAGGGAGACUAAACCAGGCAAUGGUGGCCAAAGUGAACCUGAGGAUGAGAAGCAAGAAGGCAGGCAUGCCUAGGAAGGCUUUAACUAGAGUUGGUGCAGAAGCAGCAGGUGGGGGGGUGGGUCUGAAAGCUCAGAGAAGGACCUUGCUGUGAUUGAGACCACAGAACAAGGGGCAGUUGAAGGGGCAUAUUCUUCUGCAGUACUUUGUCUGUUACUUAUGAAACUUAUUGUCAGCCUCUACCUUCCCCUUAGUGUCAGUACUGAAGUAUCAGCUUCAAGGCUUGGCUCAAGUUCUCUUGAGCCUAGAAGAUGUGAUUGGUCAUGAAAAUCCUUGCCAUUGAUUCAUUUCUUGUGGAUGUCAGGAGGAAAGGCUGGUCAUUGUAACUGUUCUGAGACAGCAAAGAGCUGAAGAGCUUGAGGCUUCUUGCAGCUUGAUCCCUGCUGUUUGUCAGCAAGUGUUACGCUUUGAUGAGAAUAAAGCUUUUCAUGAACCACA